GAGUUUGAUCGUGGCUCAGAUUGAACGCUGGCGGCAUGCCUUACACAUGCAAGUCGAACGGCAGCAUGGGAGCUUGCUCCUGGUGGCGAGUGGCGAACGGGUGAGUAAUGCAUCGGAACGUAUCCUGGAGUGGGGGAUAACGUAGCGAAAGUUACGCUAAUACCGCGUACGUCCUACGGGAGAAAGCAGGGGACCUUCGGGCCUUGCGCUAUCAGAUGAGCCUAGGUCGGAUUAGCUAGUUGGUGGGGUAAUGGCUCACCAAGGCGACGAUCCGUAACUGGUCUGAGAGGAUGAUCAGUCACACUGGAACUGAGACACGGUCCAGACUCCUACGGGAGGCAGCAGUGGGGAAUAUUGGACAAUGGGCGAAAGCCUGAUCCAGCCAUGCCGCGUGUGUGAAGAAGGUC
rnacentral:rRNA from 1 species